rnacentral:rRNA from 1 species
AUUGAAUGCUGGUGGCAGGCCUAAUACAUGCAAGUCGAAGCGGCGGACGGGCGAGUAAUGCCUAGGAAUCUGCCUGGCAGUGGGGGAUAACCACUGGAAACGGCAGCUAAUACCGUAUACCAUCGGAUGUGCCCAGAUGGGAUUAGCUAGUAGGUGGGGUAAAGGCUAACAUAGGCGGCGAUCACUAGCUGGACUGAGGGGGUGAUCAGCCGCAAUGGACCUUAGACACAGUCCAGACUCCUAGGGGUGGCCGCAGUGGGUAAUAUUGCACAAUUGGCGCGAGCCUGAUGCAGCCAUGCCGCGUGUAUUAAGAAGGCCUUCGGUUUGUGAAGUACGUUCAGCGGGGGGGCGUUACCCGGAGAAUAAGCACCGGCUAACUCCGUGCCAGCUGGCUCGGUAGUAC